rnacentral:sRNA from 1 species
AAACGGCGGGACCAGCAGCGACGGUAGCAGCAGCAUGGCCGCGAUCUAUGGGGGUGUAGAGGGGUGAGUGCGGCCCGGCGGAGGGAGCCUGGGCCCGAGGGCGGGGCGGAAGGCCGUGGCCAGCCUGGCAAGCUGGUGGCCUUGAUCCUCGGCGUCCGGGCACUUUGGGCGGCGGGACCUUGCGGUGAAGAGGUGUGUGCACGCGCAGGGGCGCCCUGGAGCGCACAGCUGUAUGCCUUACGGGGACUCUGCCUGUGCAACAGCCACACCCCGGGUUGGGGAUCCUUUGUGUUUCUUGGCGGAACCACGCCCCUUUCUCCCACGAAACACCCACUCCGCUGUCUUCAGCUGGAGAAGCAGCUCCUUUUUCCUAUUCCUGACCUCGGACAGAGUUUUGCAGAACAGGUGUCAGGUGUGAAAUUGCUGAGCGCGGGCAGGGUGGGGAGUGGGAGUGGGGAGAAGCGGGACAAAGAUCUUGGCUGAGGUUAUCCGGGAGCUGGAGCAGCUGCGAGCCAGAGUACUAGGUUGUCCUGAUGUCUGAAAACCGCUCCAUCCCUGUUGGCCUUCCAUGCUGCUUUCACUAGAUUGCAUUUUUCUGCUCAGAAGCUUGUUUACUGAACUUUUUGUAAUAGCUCUGCGCCCGGGUAUGACCAUGGACAAGAUAUUUACCCUCCCUGGGCUACAGUUACCAUAUGUGCAAAGUGAGGAUAGGGAUAAAUAAGAUCGCUAUGUCCCUGCCAGUGGCAACAUUCUGUGAAUCUGAGUGUGUCAAAUCAGGAAAUAAUGGGGGUCGCUGGCCUCUCAGCCAGGGCACUGUACUUUCGAAUCUGUGAUUGUUUUCACUUCUCUGGCAGCCACACCCCACUGCUGAUUCACAGACCCCAAAGUCUUUUCACAUGAAUUGUUAGGAAUGAUCUUUCCCAUCCUGUAUUUGUAGCACUUAAAAAAAACAGUAUAGGAGUCUGCAUUCAUCCUUGUUAUAGUCAUCUGUAAGAUAUGACCCGUUUCUUCCAGUUCGUCAAGACAUGCUUUUGGUUGUGGAAUCUGCCACCUCAUGUAUUAACUACCCCCUUGAAAUUUCAUGUCCUCUUUGAGUUUGAUGAGCGGUCUUCAGUGUCUUCUUCUGCCAUUCCUAAAAGUAAUGAUCAAUAAAGAAACAUAUAUCCCAUCACCACAGAUCUCCCUGUGAACUACUGUGACCCCCAGUAAUCAACAUUUGAAGGUUUAGUUGCUUAAGUAUGUAUGAAGUCACCCUGCCAUCUGGUCAGCAUUUCUAGCAAAGGUGUCUUGAAGACCUUGGCAGCUGGAUCUUGAAAUGCAGUGUUUAGCUAUUGUGAGGGAAGCAGAGAGAUGUGCCAUUUUUCUUAGGAGUGUUUGCUGAGCAUUGCCUGUGCCAGCUCCUGUGCUCGUUCUGAGAGGGUAAGUAAGUGAUCAGGAGCUUGACCCAGUGGAGCUUGAAGUCUAGUGAGAGGCGGACACAAAGCGUCUGAACACACUCUUCAUACAGAGGAGACUUUAAUAACUUUGGAGGCACUGUGAAGGUUUAACUAACGGAGACUUAACUAAUUCGUUGGGGUGGGCCACACCUCAGAAAAGGUUUCGAGGACUAGGUGAAGCAUAAGUAGAGUCUUGCAGGAUAAGGAGGACAUCCCCAAGGGAAGAGGAGUGAGAAUUAUGUUUCAGUUAAAGAGCAUGCAAACACUGAACCACAGAGGCGGGUUUGGGAGUGGUGAUUGAGUUUGUCGAAGCUGUCUCCUCCAUCAUACUGGGCUCUGCCAGUGUGGACAGCACAAGCUUAGCUCUCUCUGUGGGUUUUUCCGAGCAAGAUCAAGUGCCCUCUUGUGUUCUGUAGGGGAGGCACACGAUCCAAGGUCCUUUUAGUCUCAGAGGAUGGGAAGAUCCUGGCAGAAGCAGAUGGACUGAGCACAAACCACUGGCUGAUCGGGACAGACAAGUGUGUGGAGAGGAUCAAUGAGAUGGUGAACAGGGCCAAACGGAAAGCAGGGGUGGAUCCUCUGGUACCGCUGCGAAGCUUGGGCCUAUCUCUGAGCGGUGGGGACCAGGAGGACGCGGGGAGGAUCCUGAUCGAGGAGCUGAGGGACCGAUUUCCCUACCUGAGUGAAAGCUACUUAAUCACCACCGAUGCCGCCGGCUCCAUCGCCACAGCUACACCGGAUGGUGGAGUUGUGCUCAUAUCUGGAACAGGCUCCAACUGCAGGCUCAUCAACCCUGAUGGCUCCGAGAGUGGCUGCGGCGGCUGGGGCCAUAUGAUGGGUGAUGAGGGUUCAGCCUACUGGAUCGCACACCAAGCAGUGAAAAUAGUGUUUGACUCCAUUGACAACCUAGAGGCGGCUCCUCAUGAUAUCGGCUACGUCAAACAGGCCAUGUUCCACUAUUUCCAGGUGCCAGAUCGGCUAGGGAUACUCACUCACCUGUAUAGGGACUUUGAUAAAUGCAGGUUUGCUGGGUUUUGCCGGAAAAUUGCAGAAGGUGCUCAGCAGGGAGACCCCCUUUCCCGCUAUAUCUUCAGGAAGGCUGGGGAGAUGCUGGGCAGACACAUCGUAGCAGUGUUGCCCGAGAUUGACCCGGUCUUGUUCCAGGGCGAGAUUGGACUCCCCAUCCUGUGCGUGGGCUCUGUGUGGAAGAGCUGGGAGCUGCUGAAGGAAGGUUUUCUUUUGGCGCUGACCCAGGGCAGAGAGAUCCAGGCUCAGAACUUCUUCUCCAGCUUCACCCUGAUGAAGCUGAGGCACUCCUCCGCUCUGGGUGGGGCCAGCCUAGGGGCCAGGCACAUCGGGCACCUCCUCCCCAUGGACUAUAGUGCCAAUGCCAUUGCCUUCUAUUCCUACACCUUCUCCUAGGGGGCUGGUCCCGGCUCCACCCCCUCCAAGCUCAGUGGACACUGGGUCUGGAAGGAAGGAGUCUUUUGCUUCCUUUCUCCUUUUUACAAAAACAAACAUAGAAGAAAAUAAAUGCACUUUAUCCACUC